GGACCCCACUGCUAUCGAGAUGGCACUAAGGUAUGCUAGUCGAACGAACUGAACUAUGUCAGUUAGUGGCACACUGCUCAGUAACACGUAGCUAACCUACCCUUAGGACGUGGAUACCCCCGAGAAAUUGGGGUUAAUCCGCGAUAGGUGUAAUGUCCUGGAAUGGUAUUACGCCUAAAGGUAAUUCAUACAUGUUUGAAUUAUGCCUAAGGAUGGGGCUGCGGCCGAUCAGGCAGUUGGUGAGGUAAUGGCUCACCAAACCUUUGACCGGUACGGGCCAUGAGAGUGGUAGCCCGGAGAUGGACACUGAGACAAGGGUCCAGGCCCUAAGGGGCGCAGCAACCGCGAAACCUCCACAAUGCACUCACGUGCGAUGGGGCUAUCUCGAGUGCCACCUGAUGAAGGUGGCUUUUCCUUGGUCUUCAAAGCCAUGGGAAUAAGAGGGGGGCAAGACUGGUGU
rnacentral:rRNA from 1 species